rnacentral:rRNA from 2 species
CCUGAUUGAUUCUGUCAGCGCGAUAUGCUCAAGUAAAAGAUUAAGCCAUGCAUGCUUUGAUUCAUCAAUGAAAUUGCGUACGGCUCAUUAGAGCAGAUAUCACCUUGUUCGGAAUAUUAUAUGGAUAACUGCGGAAAUACUGGAGCUAAUACAUGUCAUACAUCCCCAACGUAAGGCGGGGUGCAAUUAUUAGAACAGACCAAACGUUUUCGGACGUUGUUUGUUGACUCUGAAUAAAGCAGUUUACUGUCAGUUUCGACUGACUCUAUCCGAAAAGGGUGUCUGCCCUUUCAACUAGAUGGUAGUUUAUUGGACUACCAUGGUUGUUACGGGUAACGGAGAAUAAGGGUUCGACUCCGGAGAGGGAGCCUUAGAAACGGCUACCACGUCCAAGGAAGGCAGCAGGCGCGAAACUUAUCCACUGUUGAGUAUGAGAUAGUGACUAAAAAUAUAAAGACUCAUCCUUUUGGAUGAGUUAUUUCAAUGAGUUGAAUACAAAUGAUUCUUCGAGUAGCAAGGAGAGGGCAAGUCUGGUGCCAGCAGCCGCGGUAAUUCCAGCUCUCCUAGUGUAUCUCGUUAUUGCUGCGGUUAAAAAGCUCGUAGUUGGAUCUAGGUUACGUUCUGUAGUUCGCAAUUUGCGUCAACUGUAGUCGUGACUUCUAAUUUGCUGGUUUGAGGUUGGGUUCGCCCUUCAACUGCCAGCAGGUUUACCUUGAAUAAAUCAGAGUGCUCAAAACAAGUGUUUGCUUGAAUAGCUCAUCAUGGAAUAAUGAAACAGGACUUCGGUUCUUUUUGUUGGUUCUAGAACUGAUUUAAUGGUUAAGAGGGACAAACCGGGGGCAUUCGUAUCAUUACGCGAGAGGUGAAAUUCGUGGACCGUAGUGAGACGCCCAACAGCGAAAGCAUUUGCCAAGAAUGUCUUCAUUAAUCAAGAACGAAAGUCAGAGGUUCGAAGGCGAUUAGAUACCGCCCUAGUUCUGACCGUAAACGAUGCCAUCUCGCGAUUCGGAGGGUUUUUGGCCUGCCGAGGAGCUAUCCGGAAACGAAAGUCUUUCGGUUCCGGGGGUAGUAUGGUUGCAAAGCUGAAACUUAAAGAAAUUGACGGAAGGGCACCACAAGGCGUGGAGCUUGCGGCUUAAUUUGACUCAACACGGGAAAACUCACCCGGUCCGGACACCUUUAGGACUGACAGAUUGAAAGCUCUUUCUCGAUAUGGUGGUUGGUGGUGCAUGGCCGUUCUUAGUUGGUGGAGUGAUUUGUCUGGUUUAUUCCGAUAACGAGCGAGACUCUAGCCUGCUAAAUAGUUGGCGAACCCUAAGUAUGUAUAAGUGUUAAAGUAUUGCCUAAAAAGUUUUGAUAUAUGUAGAUUAAAAUAAUAUAUCUACUAGACGAAAAAAAUCAGUUAAAAAAAAGUAAAUUACUACAAGCUUAAAGGUCUGUUUUAAGCAAUGCUUGUUGUAGGCAUACUUUCGGGUUCGUGUGACUUCUUAGAGGGAUAAGCGGUGUUUAGCCGCACGAGAUUGAGCGAUAACAGGUCUGUGAUGCCCUUAGAUGUCCGGGGCUGCACGCGUGCUACACUGGUAGACUCAGCGGGUUUUUCCUAUGCCGAAAGGUAUCGGUAAACCGUUGAAAUUCUGCCAUGUCCGGGAUAGGGCAUUGUAAUUAUUACCCUUGAACGAGGAAUGCCUAGUAAGUGUGAGUCAUCAGCUCACGUUGAUUACGUCCCUGCCCUUUGUACACACCGCCCGUCGCUAUCCGGGACUGAACUGAUUCGAGAAGAAUGAGGACUGUUGCCUCGAGGUUUAACGACUUCGUUGUUGCGGAAACCAUUUUGAUCGCGUUGGUUUGAACCGGGUAAAAGUCGUAACAAGGUAGCUGUAGGUGAACCUGCAGCUG